rnacentral:SRP_RNA from 1 species
GCCGAGCUAAGUAACAAGAGCUUGUAACCCAAGUGGGGGCAUGAAGGUGAUGGAACAACUUUGUGGCUCCCUAGUUGGAGAAAAUCAAAGUAGGUUUAAUUUUC